rnacentral:rRNA from 1 species
AUACCGGAUAAGCCCGAGAGGGGAAAGAUUUAUCGCCGAAGGAUUGGCCCGCGUCCGAUUAGCUAGUUGGUGAGGUAAUGGCUCACCAAGGCGACGAUCGGUAGCUGGUCUGAGAGGAUGAUCAGCCACACUGGGACUGAGACACGGCCCAGACUCCUACGGGAGGCAGCAGUGGGGAAUAUUGGACAAUGGGCGCAAGCCUGAUCCAGCCAUGCCGCGUGAGUGAUGAAGGCCCUAGGGUUGUAAAGCUCUUUCGCCAGGGACGAUAAUGACGGUACCUGGAUAAGAAGCCCCGGCUAACUUCGUGCCAGCAGCCGCGGUAAUACGAAGGGGGCUAGCGUUGUUCGGAAUCACUGGGCGUAAAGCGCACGUAGGCGGAUCUUUAAGUCAGAGGUGAAAUCCCAAGGCUCAACCUUGGAACUGCCUUUGAUACUGGGGAUCUCGAGUCCGGGAGAAGUGAGUGGAACUGCGAGUGUA